AUUGAACGCUGGCGGCAUGCUUUACACAUGCAAGUCGAACGGGCUUAGGGGCUUGCUCCUAAGUGAGUGGCGAACGGGUGAGUAAUGCAUCGGAACGUACCGUGUAGUGGGGGAUAACCCGGCGAAAGUCGGAUUAAUACCGCAUACGCCCUAAGGGGGAAAGCAGGGGAUCUUCGGACCUUGCGCAAAUAGAUGAGCCUAAGUCGGAUUAGCUAGUUGGUGGGGUAAAGGCCUACCAAGGCGACGAUCUGUAGCGGGUGGGAGAGGGGGAUCCGCCACACUGGGACUGAGACACGGCCCAGACUCCUACGGGAGGGAGUAGUGGGGAAUAUUGGACAAUGGGGGGAACCCUGAUCCAGCCAUGCCGCGUGUGUGAAGAAGGCCUUCGGGUUGUAAAGCUCUUUUGUCCGGGAGCAAAUCCUGUUCACUAAUACUGAGCGGGGCUGAGAGUACCGGAAGAAUAAGCACCGGCUAACUACGUGCCAGCCGCCGCGGUAACAC
rnacentral:rRNA from 1 species